GUGCAGCAGGCGCGAAUCCUUCGCAAUGCAGGAAACUGCGACGAGGGAACUCCAAGUGCCUACGCUCAGCGUAGGCUGUUCUCAAGCCUAGAAAGCUUGAGGAGUAAGGGCUGGGUAAGACGGGUGCCAUCCUGUGGUAGCAGUCAAUAGAUUCGAUUUGUUACUGCAAAGGCAUAAGCCGCCGCGGUAAUACCCGCAGCCC
rnacentral:rRNA from 1 species